rnacentral:tRNA from 1 species
UCCCUGGUGGUCCAGUGGCCAAGACUCUGAGCUCCCAGCGCAAGGGGCCCAGGUUCAAUCCCUGGUCAGGGAG